UGAUCAUAUGGACAAAUACUUUUAUUUCAAAUCAUGUUAAGAGCUAAACAAGGGUCAAAGGUCUAAUUAUGUGCCAGAAUUUUAUAUAUCAAAACCAAAAAAACCCAACUUUAUAUUUGAUCUAAAUUUUUAAGUCAUUACGAAAAAUACAGAAUCUAUGUAUGGCAGGAUUUCUAAAACUUUCUCAUGCAUAGUAGGUAUAUUUCAAUUUCAAGGAAAACAAAAUCUGGCCAAAUUGUAUGUCAAUUCGCUCUAGCUUCUUUCUCUACAAAGUCAUGGGCUAUAGAAUGAAUGUUUCAAACAUGUGUGCACUAAGGCAUGGAGAGAAAUGAAAAUACUGCAGUCAACAAGGGUGAGAAAGAAUGUCAUCACCUACAACACAAGACAGUUACAAAUAAAAAGAUGAUUCAACUGACAUUUCUUUUCAAGUUUUCUAAGUGAUUCAUAAAUUUUAAAAAUGAAAAAAAAAAGGUUUGUGUUUCACUAAAAUGAUCAGCUGUUGUAAGGCACAUUACCAAGUAUGGAACCAAAAGUGAGGAUAAAAUGAACUAAAGCUGUUUGAGUCUUAAGGUUCUCCAGUAAAACUUUCUUCUACCCAACAGUUCAUUAUGUAGAAUAGCUUUGAGAAACCAUGACAUAGUGAAUCAGGUAAAGGUAACAAUUGUUUUAUAUGGCUGUAAAUUAUAAUUCUUUUAUCAAAAUUCGAUGGCAUAUACAAAAAUUUAACACUACACAGUUUAAUACAAUUAUAUUUGAGGGGGGGGGGGGGGU